rnacentral:rRNA from 1 species
GGAUCGCAAGACCUUGCGCUUUUGGAGCGGCCGAUGUCUGAUUAGCUAGUUGGUGAGGUAAAGGCUCACCAAGGCGACGAUCAGUAGCUGGUCUGAGAGGACGAUCAGCCACACUGGGACUGAGACACGGCCCAGACUCCUACGGGAGGCAGCAGUGGGGAAUUUUGGACAAUGGGCGCAAGCCUGAUCCAGCCAUGCCGCGUGAGUGAAGAAGGCCUUCGGGUUGUAAAGCUCUUUCAGCCGGGAAGAAAAGGUUGCGGCUAAUAACCGCAACUCAUGACGGUACCGGCAGAAGAAGCACCGGCUAACUACGUGCCAGCAGCCGCGGUAAUACGUAGGGUGCGAGCGUUAAUCGGAAUUACUGGGCGUAAAUGGAACGCAG